GGCAAGUGAGGAUGGCUCACACAUGCAGUCGAUUCAAGUUACCUUCGGGUAAUGAGGAUGGCGGACGGGUGAGUAACGCGUAAGGAACUUGCCUCUUGGACUGGGACAACUGUUGGAAACGACAGCUAAUACCGGAUAUUAUGAGAUUCUCGCAUGAGAAACUUAUGAAAGCUAUAUGCGCCAAGAGAGAGCCUUGCGUUCCAUUAGCUAGUUGGUGGGGUAACGGCCCACCAAGGCGACGAUGGAUAGCCGGCCUGAGAGGGUGAACGGCCACAAGGGGACUGAGACACGGCCCUUACUCCUACGGGAGGCAGCAGUGGGGAAUAUUGGACAAUGGGCCACAAGCCUGAUCCAGCAAUUCUGUGUGCACGAUGAAGGUCUUCGGAUUGUAAAGUGCUUUCAGUUGGGAAGAAGAAAGUGACGGUACCAACAGAAGAAGCGACGGCUAAAUACGUGCCAGCAGCCGCGGUAAUACGUAUGUCGCAAGCGUUAUCCGGAUUUAUUGGGCGUAAAGCGCGUCUAGGCGGAAAAAUAAGUCUGAUGUUAAAAUGCGGGGCUCAACUCCGUAUUGCGUUGGAAACUGUUUUUCUAGAGUACUGGAGAGGUGGGCGGAACUACAAGUGUAGAGGUGAAAUUCGUAGAUAUUUGUAGGAAUGCCGAUGGAGAAGUCAGCUCACUGGACAGAUACUGACGCUGAAGCGCGAAAGCGUGGGGAGCAAACAGGAUUAGAUACCCUGGUAGUCCACGCCGUAAACGAUGAUCACUAGGUGUUGGGGGUCGAACCUCAGCGCCCAAGCUAACGCGAUAAGUGAUCCGCCUGGGGAGUACGCACGCAAGUGUGAAACUCAAGGAAUUGACGGGGACCCGCACAAGCGGUGGAGCAUGUGGUUUAAUUCGACGCAACGCGAGAAACCUUACCAGCGUUUGACAUCCUAAGAAGUUUCCAGAGAUGGAUUCGUGCCGGCUUGCCGGAACUUAGUGACAGGUGUUGCAUGGCUGUCGUCAGCUCGUGUCGUGAGAUGUGGGUUAAGUCCCGCAACGAGCGCACCCUAUGAUGUGGCUACCAUAAGUGACACUCAUGCGAUACUGCCUGCGAUGACCAGAGGAAAGGGGGGGAAUGACG
rnacentral:rRNA from 1 species